rnacentral:rRNA from 1 species
GGACCAAGGAGUCUAGCAUGUGCGCGAGUCAUUGAGACUUAGCGAAACUUAAGGGCGUAAUGAAAGUGAAGGCCGCCUUGCGCGUGCCUAGGGAGGAUGCGCCGGGCCACGGCCUGGCGCCGCACUCCCGGGGCGUCUCGUGCUCAUUGCGAGCUGAGGCGCACCCAGAGCGUACACGCUGGGACCC